GACAGAGGGUGCAAACGUUGCUCGGAAUUACUGGGCGUAAAGCGCGUGUAGGUGGAUUGGCGAGUCAGAUGUGAAAUCCCUGGGCUCAACCCAGGAACUGCACCUGAAACUACCAGUCUUGAGUAGUGGAGAGGGAAGUGGAAUUCCUGGUGUAGAGGUGAAAUUCGUAGAUAUCAGGAGGAACACCAGUGGCGAAGGCGGCUUCCUGGACACCAACUGACGCUGAGACGCGAAAGCGUGGGGAGCAAACAGG
rnacentral:rRNA from 1 species